AAAAAAGGCAAACCUGGGUUUCCGUGCCAACGUUUGACUGUCUGUCUUAUAUGAAAUUUUUUUAUAAUUAGUAUUUUCAUUGUAAUUAGAUGAUACAACAUGAUUAAUACUUUAUGCGUGACUUAUCUUUUACUUUUUUUCAUAAUUUUUUCAAAUAAGAUGAACGGUCAAACAUUAGACACGGAAACCAGGGUUUGUCUUUUU
rfam:Oryza sativa (indica cultivar-group) chromosome 4, whole genome shotgun sequence.